rnacentral:rRNA from 1 species
CAGCAGGCGCGAAAACUUUACAAUGCUGGCAACAGCGAUAAGGGGACCUCGAGUGCCAGGAUACAAUCUUGGCUGUCGCGAUGCCUAAAAAGCAUUGCAUAGCAAGGGCCGGGCAAGACCGGUGCCAGCCGCCGCGGUAACACCGGCGGCUCGAGUGGUAACCGCUAUUAUUGGGUCUAAAGGGUCUGUAGCCGGCCGGAUAAGUCUUUUGGGAAAUCCAGCUGCUCAACAGUUGGGCUUUCAGAAGAUACUGUUCGGCUCGAGACCGGGAGAGGUGAGAGGUACUUCAGGGGUAGGGGUGAAAUCUUGUAAUCCUUGAAGGACCACCAGUGGCGAAGGCGUCUCACCAGAACGGAUCUGACGGCAAGGGACGAAAGCUAGGGGCACGAACCGGAUUAGAUACCCGGGUAGUCCUAGCCGUAAACGAUACUCGCUAGGUGUCAGCCACGGUGCGACCGUGGUUGGUGCCGUAGGGAAGCCGUGAAGCGAGCCACCUGGGAAGUACGGCCGCAAGGCUGAAACUUAAAGGAAUUGGCGGGGGAGCACAAGGGCGAUUCGCG